CAGCAGCCGCGGUAAUACCGGCGGCCCGAGUGGCGGCCACUAUUAUUGGGCCUAAAGCGUCCGUAGCCGGGCUGGUAAGUCCUCCGGGAAAUCUGGUCGCUUAACGAUCAGACUUCCGGAGGAUACUGCUGGCCUAGGGACCGGGAGAGGCCGAGGGUAUUCCCGGGGUAGGGGUGAAAUCCUGUAAUCCCGGGAGGACCACCUGUGGCGAAGGCGCUCGGCUGGAACGGGUCCGACGGUGAGGGACGAAGGCCAGGGGAGCGAACCGGAUUAGAUACCCGGGUAGUCCUGGCUGUAAACGAUGCGGACUUUGUGUCGGACAAGCUAUGAGCUUGUCCGGUGCCGGAGGGAAACCGUUAAGUCCGCCGCCUGGGGAGUACGGCCGCAAGGCUGAAACUUAAAGGAAUUGGCGGG
rnacentral:rRNA from 1 species